rnacentral:tRNA from 2 species
UCCGCGGUAGCUCAGUUGGUAGAGCAGGUGGCUGUUAACCACCGGGUCGCAGGUUCGAGUCCUGCCCGCGGAGCCA